UCAAUGAGGAUAAAACAGUCACCAUUUACACAGCGCUUUCUAAGUGCUCUGAGCAUAGCAUGUCAUGGGAUGCUUACAACCAGCCAUGGUCUGGGAACCAUCACCCCCAUUUUACAGAUGGAGCAACUGAGGACUGAAGAGGACUUGUGAUUUGGUCCACAACCCCGCCAGCAGGGCCCUGGAUGGGCUCACCUUGACAUCCUCAGGCUCUGAGAAGGUGUCGGUCUCCUCCUCAGUGGGCAUCUCCAGGUCCUUGUCCCCCUCCUCGGGUGGUGGCUCCUUCUUCUCAUCCUUGGGGGCACCUUCCCCGGCCUCGCCAGCCUCCUCAGCGCCUCCAAGCUCCCCGAUGCUGAGAAUGAUCUCCUUGGGGCUCAGGAUCUUGCCGUGCAGCAGCCCCAGGAGGAAGGUCUUGGCGAAGCUGAUGCCCCACUUGAUCCGCGCGAUGGCGAUCUGCAGGUUGUUCAUCUCGCCGUCUUCGUCUGAGGCCGCCAGGCUGUCGGCACUGAAGGAGCUCAGCAGGAGGGCCAGGAACAGGUCAGACCAGCCACACACUGGGCAUUUGGAAGGACGUCACCUAAUGGAAUCUCACAGAGGCUCCUGGAGGGGAGGGCUGCCAAGAUCAUCCCCAUCUUGCAGAUAUGGAAACUGAGGCUCGUGCCUGUGAGAGGACUCUGCUGCCAUGGCAGGUUUGGAGAGGUACACUGGGGGACAGGGACUCUGCACGGGUCUGUCCUCUACCUCUACUGUCAGGGGCUGGAGAACAAAGGACAGGGCUCAAGUCUCACGUUUCUAGGAAACAAUCCUGGAGCCUUCUUUUCCUCAUCUGUUAAGUGGGACUUUUAACAGACGCUGGGUUCUGUCCCCUGUUGCUCUGGAAAGAACAUUUGGCCUGCUACUUACUCCUUCCCCCCCUUGGGGCUCCCUACCACACCUAUUCCUAUUUCCCUUCCUCCUUUCCUAUUGAUGGGGACCUAGAGGCUACUACUACUGGCCACCUCUUGUCCUCUCCCCACAUUUUAUUUUCCAGCGGACAAUUACUGAACCCCUGCCACUGUUGGUGAGCAAGUGGCCUCAGAGAGCCCAAAGCCUAGUGGAGACGGACGUCUGACCAGAAAAAUACAGGGUGGGUUUGGUGGCAAUAGAGACUGGUGUGCACAGGCUUUGAAAUGAGGCUGAAUCCCAGUUUACUAGCUGUGUGUCCUAAGGCAAGCUGCUUCACUGC